UUUGUGAUUUUUAUUUUGCAGAUGGUAUAUGUUACAUACAAGUUGCACAACCAUCCACCUCUCUCCUUUAUUUGUCAUCAACGACCUUUCUCUCUCACUCUCUUCACCACAAAACACACCCAAAACACCAUGGGAUCACCCAUCUCUCUCUAGCUCGAGAUCCCCCCUCCUCACCGUGACUCUACCAAUUUCCGGCUAAAACAUCCACCACCAAUCACCAUCACCAUCCACAUUCUGCAUUUAGAGGACCUCGAGGAAGGUAUGGUUCGAACUAGAGAAGGUUCUACAAUUUCUAAGAGUGCUAACAGACACGACCACCUGGUUGUUGAGGCAGAUCCUGAUGAUAGGUCAUUUCUAUAUAUGCAGGAUCAACAUUGCUAUGAUGAUAUUUAGAGAGGAGAUGUUAGAUCUUUAGAUUACUAGCAUUUUUAAAUAACUAUUUUAAUUAAGCAUUAUAAAUUAUUAAAUUUGAACAACUUUAAUUGUUUAAAUAACUUAAUUACUUGAUUUUCAGGGCGAUGAUCUUGUAACACCUCGAUAGCAUACAUUGAUGAAGGUGCAUGAGUGUGUCCGCCAAUUAGUUAUCGAUGUUGGUUCUUUUAAAGAUUAUUUAGCUACAUGACAUGCAUCUUGACUACACAUUGAUUAUGGCUUUAGUUGAGCAAUGGAGGUGCGGGACACACUCCAAGAUAGAGAUGACACACUCAUGCACCUAUGAUAGGACAUGAAGGGUCGAUUUAUAGAGAUACUUUAUGUGAUCGUCUAUUAGGAUGAGUGCCUCAACUAAUACUUAUAGUGAUGAUUGUAUAAAAUUAACAUGGUUAAACAUACAUUUUAAGACCCCCUCAACAAAUACAAAAAAAGGACUAGUUGAUUAUGUAUGCUCGAGCAUACAUAUUAUAUAUCUUUGGAGGUCUUAAUUUCAUGAGUACUACUGGUAAUGCAGUACCAUUAUUCUUUCUUA